UGUUGCUAAACUGCUUCAACCCUCAUAUC
rnacentral:piRNA from 1 species